UGGAAAAUACAAAGCAACGCCAAAGCUAAUACUGCAGAUGAUGAGUACUGUGAACGGGCUCAGCAUUUCCCAUAUCAAAAGCCAUCUUUAGAUGUACCUAAGUUGCAAAGAUAGCAACUUGCGCUUAAGAAGAUCAGGCCUUGAAGACAAUUUCAACGCUGGACUCUCAUCAUCUAAGAGAGUAGAAGGAUCUGAACAAAGAUCGGAGAAGCAA